GAUGAACGCUGGCGGCGUGCCUAAUACAUGCAAGUCGAGCGAACAGAUAAGAGGCUUCUUCCUCGGACGUUAGCCGCGGACGGGUGAGUAACACGUGGAUAAUCUACCUAUAAGACGGGGAUAACUUCGGGAAACCGGCGCUAAUCCCGUAUCACAUUAUGAACCGCAUGAUUCUAAAGUGAAAUACAGUUUUGCUAUCACUUAUAGAUGGACCGGCGUCGUAUUAGCUGGUUGGUAAGGUAACGCAUUACGAAGGCAACGAUACGUAGCCGACCUGAGAGGGUGAUCGGCCACACUGGACCUGGGCAACGCUCCAGACUCCUACGGGAGGAACCGUUAGGGAAUCUUGCGCAAUGAGCGAAAGCCUAACGGAGCAAGCCCGGUUGAUUAAUGAAGUGUUUGGAUCCGUAAACCCCUGUUAAAAGGAAGAAACAGACGUAUAAUUAAAUGUGCACGUUUUGACGGUACCUAAUCAGAAAGCCACGGCUAACUACGUG
rnacentral:rRNA from 1 species